GAUGCACUGAGACUUUGAUGCCUGAUUGGUCAGUCGUCGCGGGCGCCAUCCCGCCAGCCCCGAGGCCUGGUGUCUUUCUUUAACAGGGGCCUUUGGUGGGGCGCAAGAGAAGCCGGGAGACCGCGAAGGCAGCGGGAGAACUCUGAAGAAGGGUGAGCAGUAGGAAUCUGUGAAUGAUGAGACAAUAGUAGCCCACUUGCUACUGAGAUACUGCAGCUGUGUUUCUACUGGUGCAGCCAUCCAACAGAAGCCUGUGCUGUCACUGGAAAGGAAUUGAAAACAUACUGGUUUAGACUGCUGCUAGUCUCCUUGCGCAUCAGGGCUUUGCUACUGAGCAAGAUUUCUGAUGAGAUCUGCUAACUAGCUGAGAUCCGUGCCUGAUUUACCAGAUGGAAGAUUUAACUUGGUGCUGCUUGAGAACAGGGGCCAGUCUUGAGCUUCUAGUGUUAGCAUUUCAGUCCUGUAAGAGGGAAUCUAUGUCCUAUGUGGUAUGAAUGCAGCUGAGAUUUUACUGACAACAUUCUAGAAAGUCCCUACAAUAACAAGUCAUAAUCUCUCUGCCUCAGGGCCUUUCUUUGUUUAAAAUAAGUAUAAAACUUGCAUCUGCACCAUGAUUUGCAGUUCCUUUUUGAAAUAUGCAUAUUAAGAAUGAAGUGUUCGGCUCACUAAGAGUGUGCUUGUGAUGUGACACCACUGGAGCUCCAAGCUGGAUGUAGAAUAGCAACAGGUCAUGUAGUGUAUUUGCAGACCUAGACUAUUUGUGCAAUAAAGAUCUUGUACAAGAUGGGAUUGAAGAUGAGAAAUCUCUUAAUAGGUUCUGCAAGAACUUUCAUAAAAUAACCGUGUUUUAUGAUUUGAAAUUAUGGGAGUGAAAUCCAAAGAGUUUAAAGCUGGAAGAAUUAGCUACUAAUCUUACAUUUCUACAAAAUGACUGAACGAUUUCUGUUUUAUAGCCCUGAAGACAUAAUGGAGCCCUGGGGAUUUCUGACACAACAGGCUCUGAGAGCUGCUAGCACUUAGCAAAAUUGACUUCAGUUUAGCAAAAUUGACUUCAGUUUACCAAAAAAAAAAAAAAAAAAGAAAGAAAGAAAGAAAGAAAAAAGCUGUUUGGGAGGCUGCAGGGCAAGUAACUGUAUAAAUGGUUAAAGAAAUUUCAGCUCCUAGAGGAGGGUCUCAGUGACCUGUAAUGUCAGUAUGUAAUGGGCAAACAUAAAUGGAAGGGAACAUAAUUUAAGUGCUAGAAUGGUGGGAAAAAAAGCGAAAAUGAGGAGAGUAGAAAAAGUAAGUGCAGUGGCACUUUGCUUACCUUUUAUUAAAACAUUUCUUUAACAUAGUGUAUAUGAAUCUGCAAGCACAAUACAGACUAUGGCAUUAGAGUUAAGAGAACAGAAUUACGCUGUGUGCAUGAUCUGCAAUAUUUACAUGCUCUGCUACAGGGAAACAUUUACCCAUAUUCAGACUCAUGUUCCAGGGACUUUUGAGUCGUUUUCCUGAAGUCCUAGGUAAAAGGCAGCACUGAAUUAUAACCGAUACCCCAUGGUUCUCCAAGUACAUAGCCCUUCUUGUAUAGCCCUGGGAAAAAUCUCAGGUGAUUCUACACUACCAUGUAGAUUUGAAGUCCUCUUGGUUUGUCAUUUUCAUAGGGGUAAAUACAUUACAUUAUGUUCAGCUUACAACCAAUGCUAGAUGUUUUAAUAAGCAGGGGCAUAAGGGAGAUAAUCACCUUUUUGGUAGUUCCACAAAAAUGCCCAAUAUUAUAAGAACGAAGUCAGAAAAAUUAAAAUGGAACAAACAUUGAGGAAAACAGUUUUGAAAACUCUCAGUUUUCUUUGUGUGGAGAUUUAAGAAUGCAAGGAACCAUCUGUGUCACCAAAUCCAAUCUCCUGUUGUCACAGUCAGAACCUCAUACAUAUAAUUUAUCACAUACUUGUUUUUCUGAGGGUAAAUGUGCUACAAUUUAUGUCUCACAAUAAAUGUUUUUAUUUCAGUGGGACUUAAAUUAGUCACUUGUUGAUGCCAAGGGAAUUUAUCUGCAAUAGCAACUCCAGCAUUAUAAAACAGCCUGCAGCUUUUUCUAGCUGAAUAUGUCAUUGUAAACCAACAAAUUUUAAUCUUGGCUCUCUGAAUGUGUUGCCAUGCAUAUUCCUCCAUGACCAAAUGCCAGAAAGUUAGGAGUAGGAAUAGAUAUGAUUUUGAACAAGGAGCAGUUGAAAAAUACUUCUGUUUUCUUUUUCUGUGUAGUAUACUGGAAGGAGUAUAGUGGAGGGAAUAUGCUAACAUCUCUAACUUAGUUUUUAAUGUGAAUAUGAAUAAUCUCUUGGCUCAGCGUGGAAUGCUAGAUGACUGUGGCAGGAGGAAGAAAGCUGAAGCCUCAUGCAGUAGUCUAGUAUUAAAGUGUUAGGGCUUGUACUUUCUUCAAGGGGAUUAUAUAUGCAACAGAGUAUAUAUGUGUGUGUUGUAUAACAAAGGUGGAAUAAAAAAAAUAGGUAAAUAGUUCCAGCUGCUCUAACCCUUUAGUAGUUUUACAGAAUUUUGUUUUUUUAUUUUGCUCAGAGGCUGCUGAGAUAUAAUUCAAUUGAAGACUAAUUUACUAAUUAAUUACAAUUCAGCCAGAUAAUCAAUAGAGCAUUUCUCAGUCUUCUUUCUACGUGCAGAGAUAACUGUAAUCUUUUCCUGCAUUCUCAUGAAGCUCGUUAGCAAUUGUUGUUUUAAAUUCCUUCUAGAGGUUCCAGCCUACAUCUCUCAGCUCUUCAAACAUCUAAUUGUGUGAACUUGGUAAAACAAAGUCAAAGAUGAUUAUCUGUAUCAGGAUAUGUGAAUGCUGCUUAAUAAAAUUUGUCAUCUGAUGGGGAGAGGGGAACAGCUGCCAAAGGUCAUGCCUUUCAGGAAAACAGGUGGGACCAAUACGAAGAAAAUAUGAGCCAAAAAUCACACAGAGAGUUAUAAUCUACUAGCUUAAUGGCUGCCUUGUUCUGCCCAAAGGUAAAGAGCUAGCUAUCAGCCCCAUUUAUCAGGUACACCGCUUUGGUAUAAACUUGUUUAAAAUGGAGUAGAGCCCCUUUUUCAUCUUAAUUAGACAAUAACUCAUUGAUUCCAAGUGGGCCUUCUUUUUCUAAUUAUUUAGUACAUAAUAUAAUGUCAUUAAACAUCUUUGAGUGGACAGGAUUGCUCUAAAAGCUUUAGCUCCAGAGCUCCAAUAUUAGGCUUUUGGCAAUCAUCCCUGUGUGUGAAAAGCAGUCAGUUUGUUUACCAGGAAUUUAGAUUCACAUUACUGGGGGAAUUAGCAGUGAGCUAUUAGUCUGAUACAAGCACUUAACGAUUGCUGAUCAUCUCCUCCUAGCUUGCACAUAAUGGAGGUGAUCAGCUGUAAAUGGAAAGUAUGUGGGGCUAUUUUCAUGAAGGCACUUGGAGAAAGUGCUGUAUCCCGUGACCUCUGCUAACCCUACGGUUUGCAAGAAAUCCAAACACCAAAUCACUUCCUGGAGUGGAACUAAUCAGCCAUAAGAAGAGCUUCCAUUAGAGGCAAAACCAAGCUCAAACGGCCCUCCCUCAUCUGAAAAAAGGUUCAGCCACAAAGUCCCUGAGGUAGGUGAUUAGCCCCUGAUCAUAUUUACCAGUAUGCAUUUUGAUGGAGGAAGCAACUGUAGGGCAGCAGCUGGUUCUCAUUCCGUAGCAGUACUGAAUGACCGUAUCACGCUUAGUACCACCCGUUGGCUUCUUGCUUCGCUGUUGUCCUCAAAAGCUUUGUCUGGGACAUCCCAAAGAUUGAUUGGAGAGUUUUCUCUCAUGUUCCUGUGUAAUCAUAGAAUCAUAGAAUGGCCUGGGUUGAAAAGGACCUUAAA